AUCAGUACGCGGUGCACGAGCCAGCCUGCCUGCCUGCCCGCCUGGUGACAGCACUGGACCCCAGGAAAUGCCCUCAGCACUCCAAACGGUAAGGAGGCUGGGGGAUUAAAUUUAAAAAAAAAACAUGUGUGUGUUAGAGUUAGUGUGUGUGUUAGUGUGUGAGUGUUAGUGUGUGUGUGAGUGUUAGUGUGUGUGUUAGUGUGUGUGUCUGCUAGUGAGUGUCAGUGAGUGUGUCUGUUAUUGAGUGUGUGUCUGCUAGUGAGUGUCAGUGAGUGUGUUACUGUGUGUGUCUGUUACUGAGUAUGUUUGUGUGUGUCUGUUAGUGAGUCUGUUUGAUGUCUGUUAGUGAGUGUGUAUUUGUCAGUGAGAGUGUAUGUUUUGUGAGUGUGUAUGUAUGUCUGUUGCUGAGUGUGUCUCCGUCAGUAAAUGUGUGUGUCUGUUAGCUAGUAUGUAUGCGUCUGUUCGUGAGAGUGUGUGUGUCUUCAGCACUUACCUUUCUCCAGUGCCGGACUCCCUUGGCGCUGGAGAUCCCUCCACCUCUCAGC